GAAAAGCUCGGGGAUGACUUGUGGGUAGCGGUGAAAUUCCAAUCGAGCCCGGAGAUAGCUGGUUCUCCCCGAAAUAGCUUUAGGGCUAGCCUCAAGGUGAGAGAUACGGAGGUAGAGCACUGAAUGUCCUAGGGGGUAUUGCACCUACCGAAGACUAUCAAACUCCGAAUGCCGUCAUCUUAUACUUGGGAGUCAGACUGUGGGUGAUAAGAUUCAUAGUCGAAAGGGCAACAGCCCAGAUCGUCAGCUAAGGUCCCUAAAUGUAAGUUAAGUGGUAAAGGAUGUGGGAUUGCACAGACAACCAGGAUGUUGGCUUAGAAGCAGCCACUCAUUCAAAGAGUGCGUAAUAGCUCACUGGUCGAGUGAUCCUGCGCCGAAGAUUUCCGGGGCUAAAACUUACUACCGAAGCUACGGCAUCAGUAAUGAUGGGUAGGGGAGCUUCCCAUACGGGUUGAAGCAUGACCGUAAGGACAUGUGGACAGUAUGGGAGUGAGAAUGUUGGCAUGAGUAGCGAGAUGUGGGUGAGAAUCCCACAGGCCGUAAACCCAAGGUUUCCAGGGGAAGGUUCGUCCGCCCUGGGUUAGUCGGGACCUAAGCUGAGGCCGAAAGGCGUAGGUGAUGGACAACAGGUUGAUAUUCCUGUACUACCGAUAACCGUUUGAGAGAAGGGAUGACACAGUAGGAUAAGCUAAGCACACUGUUGGUUAUGUGUGCCCAAGCAUUGAGGCAGUCAAAGUAGGCAAAUCCGCUUUGAUAAUGCUGGGAUGUGAUGGGGAGCGAAAUUUAGUAGCGAAGUAGCUGAUUUCACACUGUCAAGAAAAGUCUCUAUCGAGGUUAAAGGUACCCGUACCGCAAACCGACACAGGUGGGUGAGGAGAGUAUCCUAAGGCCAGCGAGAGAACUGUUGUUAAGGAACUCGGCAAAAUGACCCCGUAACUUAGGGAUAAGGGGUGCCACCAUCAGGUGGCCGCAGAGAAUAGGCCCAAGCGACUGUUUACCAAAAACAUAGGUUUCUGCUAAGUCGCAAGACGAUGUAUAGGAGCUGACGCCUGCCCGGUGCUGGAAGGUUAAGGGGAUCUGUUAGAGCAAUCGAAGCAGUGAACUUAAGCCCCAGUAAACGGCGGCCGUAACUAUAACGGUCCUAAGGUAGCGAAAUUCCUUGUCGGGUAAGUUCCGACCCGCACGAAAGGCGUAACGAUUUGGGCACUGUCUCAACAACAGACUCGGUGAAAUUGUAAUUCCGGUGAAGAUGCCGGAUACCUGCGACAGGACGGAAAG
rnacentral:rRNA from 1 species